rnacentral:rRNA from 1 species
UACGUAGGGGGCAAGCGUUGUCCGGAUUCAUUGGGCGUAAAGAGCGUGUAGGCGGCCAGGUAGGUCGGUUGUGAAAACUGGAGGCUCAACCUUCAGAGGUCGACCGAAACCAUCUGGCUAGAGUCCGGGAGAGGAGAGUGGAAUUCCUGGUGUAGCGGUGAAAUGCGCAGAUAUCAGGAAGAACACCGGUGGCGAAAGCGCUCUGCUAGGCCGCAACUGACACUGAGGGACGAAAGCUAGGGGAGCGAAUGGG